rnacentral:lncRNA from 1 species
GGCUGACUCACACACAAGAAGAAAAAAUUCUGGCAGAGGGCGAAUGCUUUGAAGGUUUUAGUCAUACCCAAAUGUGCUCCUUUUCUUCUCAUGCGCCUCUUCAAGGUUUUCUCUCCCGUGCGUCUGGAUCGUAGAUGCUCGGAGAGGAUCUGCUACAAAGAGAAUCGCAGAUCAACUUGACAGAAGAUGAAUUCAGCCAAGCACAAAGAGACUUGACAACGUUGCCUGCACCUCAACAUGAGUAAGAAGCACAUUUCAUUUAGCAUCCAUCGUGCACAGGAGAAAUCAAAUACAACUAUUUGUAAAUUCCCUUGUUGUUUUUUUGAUAUCUCUAAAAAAAAAAGCAGAAUCAUGCUUUUCACAAUUACAGCACACCUAUGUUAGGCACAAAAAUGGUUAUGGGAAACAUUAUAUGAACUGUGUUACACCACCUAUGAAAGUGAAUGGCUUCUACAGACAGAGAGUCACAGACACAUGGCUGCAGUUUGCAGUACAAAAGCAGAGCAGACGAGCUCCACAGAAUCGAGCAACACUGAGGGUGCUGCUGGGAUUGUCCUUGCCAGGCAUGAUUGUUCCACUAACUCAUAACCAGAAACCCCUCCUGUGCUUUUCAUUCAAUGGACAACCCUCUUGCUAGCAGUUUGAGGAAGCUCAGGGAGCAACAAAAGCAGCCUCUUAAUGGCAGAGAUCGAGAGUGGCUAGCAGGAAUCGAGCAAGUGAAAGAGUCAACCACGAAUAACCAAAUACCGACACAGUGGGGCUUUCACAUACAGAGCCCGUGUGAUGAUAGGGCUUAAAAUGUCUGUGUGAUUAUAUUUUUGCCUUCUCCAAACACAGCUGUGUCAGUUUCUGCAAAUAAGAUGACGUUUGGAAGGAAAAAAUAUCUAUUUUUGCCGCUUGGUGUUUGUUUACAGGGAAGGAACACAGCCUGGACAGCUUUCGCUCUGCUCCAACAUUCCUGAAAAAUAUCCUCAAUUCAAGCUGAAAAUGGAUUUCCUUGUGCUCUGCCUUUACAAAAUCCCUAAAGUGUGGAAAAAAAGCAGGGUUAAUAUUGGAUAUUGAGACAUAUUCUAAUUUAAUUGACGGCUAAACUAUAGUAAAUGAAAAGUAAAUACAGCAUUAGGGUUGAAAUUAUUCCAUGACCAUGUGUAUGGAUGUGAUUAGACCAUUAGCUCGGUGUAGCUGUAACACUCUCAUUCUCUCCAAUCAGGUGCAGGGAGCGUUAACACUGAGCAGAUGUUCCUGUUAGCUCAAACCCCACAUGUGCAAACUCUUUCUGAAUGAAAUGUGCAAUCCAGCAGCCAGACAACAGGUAUGAUGAUUAAUGAGUGUUGGGAUUUAUUUUCUCACUCGCUCAUAUUUUGCAGAAUUACUGAAAUUAGUUUACCAUGUUUAGACAAAACGGCAGGAAAAAAAUGGGAUUAAGUUAUACUGACAUUACAUAUACAAGGUAGUUAUAUAUGCACAUUUUAUUUCUUUCUUUAUUUUUUUGUAAAGGAAAAUGGAGGAAAUUCUGUAAAAUACAGACAUAUAUAAGGAGUAUACAACACACUCUAUAGAAAAAUAAAUGUUCACACAAAUAAUGUCCAAAAGGAAAUCUUUUCAACUACUUCUUACUUCUUCAUUUCAAGGGCAAUAAUGUACUCUUUACCCUUUAGCAUUUAUUCACUUUUGCUACACGUAUAUUAUGUAUAUUUUAUAAUAUACAUAAUAUAUGCCGCAUUGAAAGUAGCUACAAUUACGCUAUGCGCCACUUUAAUGGUGCCUACAGAUUUAUGCAUCAAGGACUUCAAUGCAAUCAAGUCAUUCAUAUUAAUCUGAAAGGUGAUGUUGUAUGCAUGGUGUAAGUAUAUAUAUAUAUAUAUAUAUAUAUAUUUUAAAUCUGGGGUACUUGAAGUGCAUUUUCCUGCUUAAACACAGUAUUUUUACUCUAGUUUAAUAUCAAACGCAGGACUCUGACUUCAAAAAACAGUAUUUUGACACAGUUCCUUUUUUUCCUUUUUGAUCUUUUCAGAUAUAAAACUGCGGUCUUAACUUUAAUGUCUGACUGGCUUGGAGAACUACAGUCAUAAAGAAUGAAGCCACACACACACACACACACACACACACACACACACACACACACACACACACACACACACACACACACACACACACACAAACCAGUUUAUGCAACUGCCAUUACAACUUACAAAUUACAGUGUGUGGGAUAGGAUGUCACAUUUCACUCCCUGUCUUUAAGGAAAUAGUAAAAUCACUCUCUCUGUAUUUGCUUUAGAGAAGGUUCAUUUUUAAACCUCUCUGUGAAACAAACAAGACAAACAUAAGCCGUCAGUUGUAGAUUGUUAGAUUAGAUAGAGGUCUCAAAUAAACCAGGAGAUACUGGCAGACAAAUAAAAAAUAAUGCAACCAUCAGUUGUUCAGCAAUAACUAAAACUGAAACAAGCUACACACUGGAAACGUCUAUCCAUCUCUAUGCAUCACCACAUUUCACAGCAAAAGACCGUCAACCCCUGUUACAGGAGAGCUGCUGUAAAGGGAGUCUGGUCUGCAGCAAGCUGGGAGUACUUAAUAAAAUAGCCGCCGUGUGAGGGAAAUCUAGGCCAGAGCAGUGUUUCUGUUGACAACAAUUUACCCCCACCAUGCACUGUGAGGGGCUCCUUGGAAGAGCAGGAACAAUAUCCUGUUCCACCUUAUAAAAACAGUUGUGGAAAAUUAGCAUCCUUGCUGUCUUCUCGGAGCGUCAGCCUGUAGAAAUGCUGCAGUCAAUGAAAUCAAUUUCCCCUCUGUCAAGCUUUAAUCACACACAUAAACUUUUUAACAAAAUCUGCAAACUCGAAUGAAUUAUUCCCCUCAGAAGCUCUUCACACCCUCUCACCUCCAUUUUCUCGUCUUUUGUUUCCUCUCCUUGUCUUGCUUUUCUCUCUCCCUCAUAUCCACUUCAGGCUUUGCUGCAACUCUGUUAACUUGCUUGAAACCGUUCCCAAAACCAACCAAAAGAAAAUGUGGUCUUGAUUUGUCUUUUUUUUCCCCCCUUCUCCACAGGAAAUAACAGAAAAACGGAACAAGGAGAUACCUAGUGAACUGAAGACAUUACCAGGAAAAUGAAGGGGCUAUUUCACAGACAUGGAUUAAACUAAUCCUGGUCUAAUACAGUGAAAAGGAGAACUUUGGCUGUCUGUCUGAAACCAAUCCCUAAAUCUCAUUGAAUUUAACAUGUCUGAUAUUUCUGCUUUUUUCUCAGCCGUAUUACACAAUAUGAGAGACCGAUCAACGCAACUGCUUUAUCUACAGCCUCCGUGUGGAUUUUGCAUGAUAUGUUUACAAGUGUUAUGAAGAGCAAGAUCCCAGAUAAACAAUAAACUCAGUCUGCUUGAAUUAAGUGCGCAUUCAGUUUGAACUUUCCACAAAAUCCAAUCAAAGAACUCCUCUUCCCUGUCUGUUUUCCCCUCUCUCACUCCUUUCAUUAGCUUAAUAUAUUAAUCUAUUCCCUUUUAUCCAUUUUAGAUUAUAUCAGACCUUUCUGUUCCACUGCAGUAGCCGCCUCU